rnacentral:rRNA from 1 species
UUUUAUAUCCUGGGCUACACACACGCUACAAUGGGAAGGGACAAUAGGUUGCGAAGCCGCGAGGCGGAGCCAAUCCAAGCAAAACUUCCCUCAGUUCAGAUUGCAGGCUGCAACCCGCCUGCAUGAAGUUGGAGUUGCUAGUAAACGCAGGUCAGCCAUACUGCGUUGAAUACCGGUUCCCGGGGCUU